GUCGAAAUAGCUCAAUUGCGAGAGCGUCAAACUAUAGAGCGAAAGGUCUCUGGUGCGAUCCCGGUUUUCGUCA
rnacentral:tRNA from 1 species